UGUAGGAACCACCUGGGUUUGCUGAUGCUUUGGGGAAAUCGUCUGCACAUCAAGCUAAUGAGGAGCUAUCCAGUACUUUCAUAACACAAACAGGUGCUGACAACAGGAACCAGGCCACUGUGAUCGACACCACAGGAAGCAUUAAUUCCUCGGGAUCGAAACCGCUUGCAUCUUCAUAUCCCAAAAGGAUACUCUGCAACACAUCAUGCCCACGACGUGUUUUCUUGAGCGCUAGAAAACUGCGGACUCUCUCAGCCUGAGUUACCAUUCUCCCCUCUGUGUGCUUCAGUUCCCAUUCCAGAGAGUUGAAUACCAAACCCAGGCAGGUAUUCCCAAUACAAAACGGGGAAAUGCUGCACUGUCGAAAGCACCAUCUUUUGAACAAAAUACUUCCCCAAGGCCAAGUGUAUUUUUUUUAUUUCUUCACAGGAUGUAGGUGCCCAGCACUUAUUGCCCAUCCCUAAUUCCCCAGAGGGUAGUUAGGAGUCAGCCACAUUAUUCUGGAGUCACACGGAGGCCAGGCCAGGUCAGGAUGGUAGAUUUCCAUCCCUGAAGGAUAUUAGUGAACCCCGUCAGUUCUUCCACAGUAGUUCCUAUUAGGCCAGAUUAUACCAGAUUUUUAUUGAAUUCAAAUUUUGCUAUCUAAUACGACGGGAUUCAAACUCAUUUCCCAGAACAUGAACUUAGGGCUCUGGAUAACUGCCAGUCCAGUGAAAUUACCACUAAGCUGCCAUCUCCCUUUAACCCUACAUUGCACAGGUGAAUGCCUAAGAUCCCACUGCUUUGAAGAAGGGCAGAGAAAUGGUUUUGGUGUCCUGGCCAACUCUAAUCCCUCAACCCAAUACUUCACAGCAAUAUAUUGUGAAUUAUUGUCUUGCUGUGCACAAGGCACAAGUUUUCUACAUCGUGACAAUACCUACUGACUCCUUUGAAACUACUGCGUGAGCUAUAAAGGAUAGGACCUGAGUUCAUUAUGUAUAUAAAUGCAAGUCUUAGUUUUUCUUUUCAUUGUGUUGGAGGGCUUGAACUAUAAGGAGAGGCUGAAUA